GGGCGGAUGGCGAAAUGGCAGACGCGCUAGAUUCAGGUUCUAGUGAGAGCAAUCUCGUGGAGGUUCAAGUCCUCUUCCGCCCACCA
rnacentral:tRNA from 1 species